GACGAACGCUGGCGGCGUGCCUAACACAUGCAAGUCGAACGAAGCAUAGCAAUAUGCUUAGUGGCGGACGGGUGAGUAACGCGUGAACAAUCUGCCCUGUACAAAGGAAUAGCCUCGGGAAACCGGGAUUAAAACCGUAUGACACUUUAGUAUCGCAUGAUAAGAAAGUCAAAUCGAUUAGAGGUAUGGGAUGAGUUCGCGUCUGAUUAGCUGGUUGGCGGGGUAACGGCCCACCAAGGCGACGAUCAGUAGCCGGCCUGAGAGGGUGAACGGCCACACUGGAACUGAGACACGGUCCAGACUCCUACGGGAGGCAGCAGUGGGGAAUAUUGCACAAAUGGAGGGAACUCUGAUGCAGCGACGCCGCGUGAGUGAAGAAGGUCUUCGGAUCGUAAAACUCUGUCCUUGGUGAAGAAAAGGACGGUAGCCAAGGAGGAAGCCCCGGCUAACUACGUGCCAGCAGCCGCGGUAAUCUAAGUCUACG
rnacentral:rRNA from 1 species